GUAGAUGAAAAUUAGUCCCAUAUUUUAUUCCUUCAUCGCUAAGAGCAAUACAUACAAGACAACGGUUGAGGAGGUGCAGCCCAUGAGAAAAGCAGUACGUGUGCCCCACAUAUAUAUAUAUAUAUAUAUAUAUUUGUAUAUACAUCGAAAUAGGUACACUUUUCUGAUGAUUAUUAUUGACCAAGUUCAUGUGCUUGGUGGGUGGUCGAGAGUAUGAUCAGGACCAUCCUGCAGGUAAAGAGGACGAUUUGACAGAGCAGCCAAGAAAUAUAUAUCAUCAAUGGAGUAAAAUUUUGGCUGUAUAGUCAUGUAUACAUAUCGCUGACAUACUCACGAAGUUGUACUCACUAUAUUUAUAUACAUAUGUACCUCAAUUUUAUAAAUAUUGUCU
rnacentral:lncRNA from 1 species